rnacentral:rRNA from 1 species
UGAGGAAUAUUGGUCAAUGGGCGAGAGCCUGAACCAGCCAAGUAGCGUGCAGGAUGACGGCCCUAUGGGUUGUAAACUGCUUUUAUGUGGGGAUAAAGUGCGUGACGUGUCAUGCAUUGCAGGUACCACAUGAAUAAGGACCGGCUAAUUCCGUGCCAGCAGCCGCGGUAAUACGGAAGGUCCAGGCGUUAUCCGGAUUUAUUGGGUUUAAAGGGAGCGUAGGCUGUUUGUUAAGCGUGUUGUGAAAUGUAAGAGCUCAACUUUUAGAUUGCAGCGCGAACUGGCAGACUUGAGUGCGCACAACGUAGGCGGAAUUCAUGGUGUAGCGGUGAAAUGCUUAGAUAUCAUGACGAACUCCGAUUGCGAAGGCAGCUUACGGGAGCGCAACUGACGCUAAAGCUCGAAGGUGCGGGUAUCGAACAGG